CACGUAGGGUCCAAGCGUUGUCCGGAUUUAUUGGGCGUAAAGAGCUCGUAGGCGGCUUGGUAAGUCGAGUGUGAAAACUCUGGGCUCAACUCAGAGACGCCACUCGAUACUGCCAUGGCUUGAGUCCGGUAGGGGAGUGUGGAAUUCCCGGUGUAGCGGUGAAAUGCGUAGAGAUUGGGAAGAACACCGGUGGCGAAAGCGCUCUGCUGGGCCGCAACUGACACUAAUGGACGAAAGCUAGGGGAGCGAAUGGG
rnacentral:rRNA from 1 species